CACGUAGGGUGCGAGCGUUGUCCGGAAUUAUUGGGCGUAAAGAGCUCGUAGGCGGUGUGUCGCGUCGGCCGUGAAAACCUGCAGCUUAACUGUGGGCUUGCGGUCGAUACGGGCAUCACUGGAGUUCGGCAGGGGAGACUGGAAUUCCUGGUGUAGCGGUGAAAUGCGCAGAUAUCAGGAGGAACACCGGUGGCGAAGGCGGGUCUCUGGGCCGAUACUGACGCUGAGGAGCGAAAGCGAGGGGAGCGAACAGG
rnacentral:rRNA from 1 species